GCCGAGCCCGCGAUGCGGCUCCCCGACGACGGAUCAGUACCGGGAACGCGACAAGACUGGCCAGG
rnacentral:ncRNA from 1 species